AGAGUUUGAUCCUGGCUCAGGACGAACGCUGGCGGCGCGCCUAACACAUGCAAGUCGAACGAGCGAGAGAGAGCUUGCUUUCUCGAGCGAGUGGCGAACGGGUGAGUAACGCGUGAGGAACCUGCCUCAAAGAGGGGGACAACAGUUGGAAACGACUGCUAAUACCGCAUAAGCCCACGGCUCGGCAUCGAGCAGAGGGAAAAGGAGCAAUCCGCUUUGAGAUGGCCUCGCGUCCGAUUAGCUAGUUGGUGAGGUAACGGCCACCAAGGCACGGAUCGGUAGCCGGACUGGAGAGGUUGAACGGCCACAUUGGGACUGAGACACGGCCCAGACUCCUACGGGAGCA
rnacentral:rRNA from 1 species